ACUCCUACGGGAGGCAGCAGUGGGGAAUAUUGCACAAUGGGCGCAAGCCUGAUGCAGCCAUGCCGCGUGUAUGAAGAAGGCCUUGGGUUGUAAAGUACUUUCAGCAGUGAGGAAGGUGGGGUAUGUUAAUAGCAUAUUCUAUUUGUACGUUAGCUGCAGAAGAAGCACCGGCUAACUCCGUGCCAGCAGCCGCGGUAAUACGGAGGGUGCGAGCGUUAAUCGGAAUUACUGGGCGUAAAGCGCAUGCAGGUGGUUUGUUAAGUUCAGAUGUGAAAGCCCGGGGCUCAACCUCGGAAUUGCAUUUGAAACUGGCAAACUAGAGUACUGUAGAGGGGGUAGGAAUUUCAGGUGUAGCGGUGAAAUGCGUAGAGAUCUGAAGGAAU
rnacentral:rRNA from 1 species